CACAUGCUUAUACACGGCUUUACAUUCCCCAGUGACGGCUGCAAGGAGUUUCCAAAUACCGGCUCGGUUUUCUUCAGCUCCUCACAACUCGCCCCAGAAGAGACGACUGUUUAGGACGGUCUGCAGGGCAGUCGGAGACACCUCCAGAGACCCUGAAUGAGAUGGAGACUCGGUCAUGCCCUCCCUGGACAAGGCUCCGUGGAGAAAUGUCCCAUGUCACAAGGACUCAGGAAAGUGACAGAAGCCUGAGUGAAAACUGGAAGGAAUCACCUACUUUCAGCCUCAAGGCCUGAAGUGCCCUCUUGCUUUCAGCGCCACACUAAGGAAUUGAAUGACUCAUCUCAGGUUUGGAAGCUUCCUGGACUGUUAAGCAAGGAAUCAGCAAAAAAAAAAUUCACGAUAUGAAUGUCAAAAGCAUCCUGUAAUGGACAAAUUAAAUCCACAGGCAAAGUCAUUUUUAAAAGGUAGGACUUGCUCCUUGUUCACACAGUGACAUGGCUUGGCUGGACAUGGUAAUUCUUCCUAAGCCAGCCUGCAUUACGCUCUGGUAAAAGGUGGGAUAAUACUUAACAUGGAUACAGUUUGAUAUAUUUUUCAGUAGAAAGAAAUAAAUGGAUUUAGGAUUUUUUUGGCUUUGUUUCU
rnacentral:lncRNA from 1 species